GUUGCUUUUGGUUACAACUAUAACAAUAUCUAGAUACUGUGCCUAGAGCAAUAUUCCACGCAACCUGGGAUCGUAGAAAACUAGAAACGUAGGAAUAUAAGGCUCAAAAGGAGACUAUGGAACCUUUGUAUUUGUAUACAUGGAAUGAUGGAAACUAUUUCUCUGAUUGAUUUAUGCAAACAUUGAUAUGACUUAUGGACAGGAUUUCUCUUGACAGAACAGCUGAAGGGUACCAUCAGAGUCACACAUACAAACACAAAACUGGACACCUCAAGUACUUUGCUUUUACCUAAAAGAAGAUGGACACCAAUUCCCAAAAAUGGCGGCUGUCCAUUCAUGUGAAACAUAGCUGUUGGCAAAGCUAAACAAAUCGCGGGAAAAAGGAGUAACCGUUCCCGGAUCGAUGGGAUGGAGGAACAGAAACAUGGUACGUUACUAAAACAAGGUUUUAAUACUACGGGAACGAGAUUGUUCCCAUAUUCCCGGAACGGAACAAACGUUCCUUGAACGAGCAACGUGGCCAAGUUCUACUUUGCCGGUUUGUAGGUGGCCAAGUUCUAAGGAAAAACACCAGAUCUAUGAUGGUGCCACUGAGAGGAGCAGCACUUCCUUUUACUAGAAUCUGACAUUGCAAGUUUCUUUUCAUCGUGCCCUUUGGCAGGGCCAUGCCUCGACCCUUUUCUACUUUCUACUAGUUUGGAACUGGAAAAAAAAACAAAUUGUUGUUUGAUGGUUAGGUACGGUACCCAAAGGUGAACAGAUUAUCCAAAUCACAAAAAAUGGAGUAGAAGCGAGUCAAGCGUGGAGGAAUCGGGAUUCGCCGACAGAAGGUUUGAAACAAGCCGGACUCCGACCGGAUUUGACCACGGACGGAAUACACAUUGUUUUCAGGAGAGCGCUAUUUUUAGUAGUCAAUCUAUCGUCAGACUAAAUUAAACGUGCUUUUUAGUUGCAAAUGUGGAAAGUAACAUAUCCACCAGUACAGCGCGCAUAGAACAUUAGAACUACGCUACAGCUAAUCGGACUAAACAAACAGAUGAGAAAGCUAGAUCGACGAGGGCAGGUGAAAACUUUCCUAACAACUUCGCCGAAGCGAAAUCUACCGCAGCCGCAGCGGCAACAGCAAGAACCGAAGCACAGGUUCGUUCUUUCCUCGGCGGAAUUUUCUGCAACGCGCCACAGCUUUAGAGCGAGCGAUCACGGUCCCCAAAAUCCGCAUCGAAAACCGAGACGCGCAAAGGAUGGACACGAGAGGUCCAAGAAAACACCGGAUCAUACAGAUAACGAAAUCGAGGACAGCGUAUUCUGGCACUCACUUCGAAGGUGCAGCAGAAGGUCGGCCGACGGGCGGGCGCUAGGCGAGACGCCUCCUUCCUCGCGGCUGGCUCGACUAGGGCACGGAUUGGAGAAUGGGGGGAGAGGAAGCCUCUUCUUGGCCUUCCCCCUCUCUCUCUCCCCUAGUCCCCUCCUAGCCUUCCCUGUCUGCCUACUCGGUUCUUAAAUUCUCCUCGGAGCGAAAGCGUGCGUCCCAUUGGC
rnacentral:lncRNA from 1 species